rnacentral:rRNA from 1 species
UACAUAGGUCUCAAGCGUUGUUCGGAUUCAUUGGGCGUAAAGGGUGUGUAGGUGGCGCCGUAAGUCGGGUGUGAAAUUUCGGAGCUUAACUCCGAGACUGCAUUCGAUACUGCGGUGCUUGAGGACUGGAGAGGAGACUGGAAUUCAUGGUGUAGCAGUGAAAUGCGUAGAGAUCAUGAGGAAGACCAGUGGCGAAGGCGGGUCUCUGGACAGUUCCUGACGCUGAGACACGAAGGCCAGGGGAGCAAACGGG